rnacentral:rRNA from 1 species
GGCGAACGGGUGAGUAAUGCUUUGGAAUCUGCCUAGUAGUGGGGAAUAACCUGGGGAAACUCAGGCUAAUACCGCAUACGACCUAAGGGUGAAAGCGGGGGAUCGCAAGACCUCGCGCUAUUAGAUGAGCCAAAGUCGGAUUAGCUAGUUGGUGGGGUAAAGGCCUACCAAGGCGACGAUCCGUAGCUGGUCUGAGAGGACGACCAGCCACACUGGAACUGAGACACGGUCCAGACUCCUACGGGAGGCAGCAGUGGGGAAUAUUGGACAAUGGGGGCAACCCUGAUCCAGCGACGCCGCGUGUGUGAAGAAGGCCUGCGGGUUGUAAAGCACUUUUAGUGGGGAUGAAAAGUCCAAGGUUAAUACCUUUGGAUCUUGACCUAACCUACAGAAAAAGCACCGGCUAACUCUGUGCCAGCAGCCGCGGUAAUACAGAGGGUGCAAGCGUUAAUCGGAAUUACUGGGCGUAAAGCGUGCGUAGUC